AGCGAACGCUGGCGGCAGGCUUAAUACAUGCAAGUCGAGCGCCUGUAGCAAUACAGGAGCGGCAGACGGGUGAGUAACGCGUGGGAACGUGCCCUUUGGUUCGGAACAACACAGGGAAACUUGUGCUAAUACCGGAUAAGCCCUUACGGGGAAAGAUUUAUCGCCGAAGGAUCGGCCCGCGUCUGAUUAGCUAGUUGGUGAGGUAAUGGCUCACCAAGGCGACGAUCAGUAGCUGGUCUGAGAGGAUGAUCAGCCACACUGGGACUGAGA
rnacentral:rRNA from 1 species